rnacentral:rRNA from 1 species
CCUACGGGGGGCUGCAGUGGGGAAUAUUGGACAAUGGGGGGAACCCUGAUCCAGCCAUGCCGCGUGUGUGAAGAAGGCCCUCGGGUUGUAAAGCACUUUCAGUGAGGAAGAACGCCUGGUGGUUAAUACCCAUCAGGAAAGACAUCACUCACAGAAGAAGCACCGGCUAACUCCGUGCCAGCAGCCGCGGUAAUACGGAGGGUGCGAGCGUUAAUCGGAAUUACUGGGCGUAAAGCGCGCGUAGGUGGCUUGAUAAGCCGGUUGUGAAAGCCCCGGGCUCAACCUGGGAACGGCAUCCGGAACUGUCAAGCUAGAGUGCAGGAGAGGAAGGUAGAAUUCCCGGUGUAGCGGUGAAAUGCGUAGAGAUCGGGAGGAAUACCAGUGGCGAAGGCGGCCUUCUGGACGGACACUGACACUGAGGUGCGAAAGCGUGGGUAGCAAACAGGAUUAGAUACCCCAGUAGUC